GUNGUGGCNNNCNGUUAGAGUAACACGUGGGUAAACCUGCCCCGAAGCGGGGGAUAACAUUUGGAAACAAAUGCUAAUACCGCAUAAUUAGUCAGAACCGCAUGGUUCCGACUUGAAAGAUGGCUCUGCUAUCACUUCGGGAUGGACCCGCGCCGUAUUAGUUAGUUGGUGAGAUAAAAGCCCACCAAGACGAUGAUACGUAGCCGACCUGAGAGGGUAAUCGGCCACAUUGGGACUGAGACACGGCCCAGACUCCUACGGGAGGCAGCAGUAGGGAAUCUUCCACAAUGGACGAAAGUCUGAUGGAGCAACGCCGCGUGAGUGAUGAAGGGUUUCGGCUCGUAAAACUCUGUUGUUAAAGAAGAACAAGCAUGAGAGUAACUGUUCAUGCUUUGACGGUAUUUAACCAGAAAGCCACGGCUAACUACGUGCCAGCAGCCGCGGUAAUACGUAGGUGGCAAGCGUUGUCCGGAUUUAUUGGGCGUAAAGCGAGCGCAGGCGGUUUUGUAAGUCUGCUGUGAAAGCCCUCAGCUCAACUGAGGAAGUGCAGUGGAAACUACAAAACUUGAGUACAGAAGAGGAAAGUGGAACUCCAUGUGUAGCGGUGAAAUGCGUA
rnacentral:rRNA from 2 species